UCUCCGUUGGUGAACCAGCGGAGGGAUCAUUAUCGAGUUUAUAACUCCCAAACCCUAUGUGAACUUACCACUUGUUGCUUCGGCGCGCGCUUCGGCGCCGCCGAGGACACUUAAACUCUUUGUUUUUAUAAGCAUUUCAGUGGCCGAAAGGCAAAAUACAAAUGAAUCAAAACUUUCAACAACGGAUCUCUUGGUUCUG
rnacentral:misc_RNA from 1 species